CUUAGCUGCAUAUUGGGAUCACUUGGACAUCUUUCAGCACUGCUGGGGUCAGAGUCCCAGCCAGGUCCUAUCUCACUGGCCUGAGGUGCAGUCAGACAGCGUGGGUUUCUGGCACCCUCUGGCCUGGCUCCAAUGGGCAGCGCAGAUGGAGAACCACUGUCUACUGAGAAAGAGAGAAAGCAGCAUCAAUCAUGAAGCGCAACCGGAGCUCUGCGUCGCCCACUGACAGAUGUGCUUUCCAUGCGUAUUGGAGGUCUGUGGGUGAUGAGGACCAUAUCCACCUGGCAGGAUCAACAGAGGCAGAUGCACAGGUGUUGACAGCAGAAACGUGGGCCCCAAAAUGGGAAGCACAAGAGUGCCUGGCAGCAUUUAUCCUCAGUUCUUCCCCAAGGGCAUGUCCUGUUGAGAGCCGGUUUCACCUGUGCAGUGUGGCCUGAUGGCCCAGCAUCCAGGAGCUCUGCGCACCCUGCCGCCAUGGGCCAUCCGUCCCCAGACCUCUUCCCACAGGGUCACUGUGGUCCACCGUCCUGCCCUCGGGGAAUCUCGGCCUCCCUCUCACAGGCCCCGCCCACGGACUCAUUCACUGAUGCCAUCGCUGGACCCAAGUCAGUCAGAUGAACAGUAGGAUGGUGUCAGAGCCUCGACCUCGGGAAGCACAGGAUGAGAACAAUGCAGCUGCCUCCCCGGGCCGUCAACCCCAGCACGGAAAACUCACACUGGUCCUCACUCCAGCCUGAAUGCUCCUGCUGAGGCCAGCUCUGCUCUGUCCCAUUCUGUCAUCAUUAAAGAGAGAAGGGAUGGCCACAUCUACCUGGAAUAACCACUUCCUCCUCUGAACACAGCUCUCAUCUGGAGCCCCGAC